rnacentral:snRNA from 1 species
GGAUGGGAGAGCAAUCUGGCUGCAACAUCCGUCACCCCGUUGAUUGCCAGGAUUGAUUUGGCUGAUCUGGCUGGCCGGGCAGGUGUCCCCCUCCUCCCUCUCUGCUCCAUGUGUGUCCCUCCUGAAGCUGCACACUGUCGAAGAGGACAACCAUCCCCAAUACAGGAAGACUGGUCUUCAGUCAAGGGUAUAUAAGUAGCUGAGGCCCGCUGCUAGAACCUCCAAACAAGCUCUCAAGGUCCAUUUGUAGAACAUAGGGUAGUCAAGUUUCCAAGACUCCAGACACAUUCAAAUGAGGUGCUACAUGUGGUAGUCUGCCUUU